rnacentral:rRNA from 1 species
AGUGAACGCUGGCGGCGUGCUUAACACAUGCAAGUCGAACGAGAACGGAAUAUAGCUUGCUAUAUUUGUCAGCUAAGUGGCGCACAGGUGAGUAAUGUAUAGAUAACCUGCCCUUAAGAAAGGAAUAACAGUUGGAAACGACUGCUAAUGCCCUAUAUGCCUUUAAUACAUAAGUAUGCAAGGGAAACGCUUUAGUGCUUAAGGAUGGGUCUGUAUGGUAUCAGCUUGUUGGUGAGGUAAUGGCUCACCAAGGCUAUGACGCCUAACUGGUUUGAGAGGAUGAUCAGUCACACUGGAACUGAGACACGGUCCAGACUCCUACGGGAGGCAGCAGUGGGGAAUAUUGCACAAUGGACGAAAGUCUGAUGCAACAACGCCGCGUGGAGGAUGACACAUUUCGGUGCGUAAACUCCUUUUAUAUAGGAAGAUAAUGACGGUACUAUAUGAAUAAGCACCGGCUAACUCCGUGCCAGCCGCCGCGGUAA